rnacentral:rRNA from 1 species
GACGAACGCUGGCGGCGUGCUUAACACAUGCAAGUCGAACGGAAAGGCCCUGCUUUUGUGGGGUGCUCGAGUGGCGAACGGGUGAGUAACACGUGAGUAACCUGCCCUUGACUUUGGGAUAACUUCAGGAAACUGGGGCUAAUACCGGAUAGGAGCUCCUGCUGCAUGGUGGGGGUUGGAAAGUUUCGGCGGUUGGGGAUGGACUCGCGGCUUAUCAGCUUGUUGGUGGGGUAGUGGCUUACCAAGGCUUUGACGGGUAGCCGGCCUGAGAGGGUGACCGGCCACAUUGGGAGUCGGAUACGGCCCAGACUGCUACGGGAGGCAGGAGUGGGGAAUAGUGGACAAGGGGCGGAAGCCUGAUGCAGCAACGCCGCGUGCGGGAUGACGGCCUUCGGGUUGUAAACCGCUUUCGCCUGUGACGAAGCGUGAGUGACGGUAAUGGGGAAAGAAGCACCGGCAAACUACGU